rnacentral:rRNA from 1 species
AUUGAACGCUAGCGGGAUGCCUUACACAUGCAAGUCGAACGGAGUGGCGAACGGGUGAGUAAUGUAUCGGACUGUGCCCAGUAGCGGGGGAUAACUUCGUGAAAGCGUAGCUAAUACCGCAUACUAUCAGAUCGGCCGAUAUCGGAUUAGCUAGUUGGUGGGGUAACGGCCUACCAAGGCGACGAUCCGUAGCUGGUUUGAGAGGAUGAGCAGCCACACUGGGACUGAGACACGGCCCAUACUCCGACGGUAGGCAGCAGUGGGGAAUUUUGGCCAAUGGGGGAAACCCUGAUCCAGCCAUCCCGCGUGUGCGAUGAAGGCCUUCGGGUUGUAAAGCACUUUUGGCAGGAAAGCGGUACCUGCAGAAUAAGCACCGGCUAACUACGUGCCAGCAGCCGCGGUAAUAC